CCCUCNGUAAUGGCGAAUGAACAGGGAUGAGCUCAGUAUGGAAAUUGGGGCCUGUGGCCUUGAAUUGUAGUCUGGAGAUGUACCACCAACUGGGGCGCAGAUGUAAGCCUCUUGGAAAAGAGCAUCAAUGAGGGUGAGAGUCCCGCUUGGCAUCUGCAGUCCCCAGUGCACGGUGUACCUUCUAAGAGUCACGUUCCUCGGGAUUGGAGCGCAAAUCGGGUGGUAAGUUUCAUCUAAAGCUAAAUAUAGUUUCGAGACCGAUAGCAAACAAGUACCAUGAGGGAAAGGUGAAAAGGACUUUGAAAAGAGAGUUAAAAGUGCCUGAAAUUGCUGAAAGGGAAGCGAAUGGAACCAGCGUAACUUGGCGAGAUUGCUGCGUGUCAAUGUGAUUGCUUGCUGCUUCAACGUAAGUGUUGUAGUAAGUCUUGAACAGGACAUGCGCGGUGCUUCUUGCCUUGUGUGUCACCGUCAGUUCGCAACUGGGGAAAACUUCAGGGACAUGGUAGCCUGUCUCCGGGUGGGUGAACGUGUUUGCUGGAACUCAUUUGCGGAUUGCUUGGUGACUAAAUGGUUCCAUCUGACCCGUCUUGAAACACGGACCAAGGAGUCUAACAUAUGUGCAAGUUCACGGGUGUUAAACCUGCUUGCGUAAUGAAAGUGACUGCUGGGAUUUUUGCACCAGCAACCGACCAAUCAAUUGAGAGAGGUUUGAGUAUGAGCAUAUCUGUUAGGACCCGAAAGAUGGUGAACUAUGCCUGUGAAGGGCAAACUCAGGGGAAACUCUGAUGGAGGCUCGUAGCGNU
rnacentral:rRNA from 1 species